UCGAGGGGCAGCACGAGUACUUGUACUUGGUGGCGACCGGCGCACGGGUGCGUUACGCGUAUGCAACCUACCCAUUACAGGGAGAUAGCCCAGAGAAAUUUGGAUUAAGACCCCAUAGUACUAUAGAUCGGCAUCGUGAAAUAGUUAAAGAUUUAUCGGUAAUGGAUGGGCAUGCGUGUCAUUAGCUAGAUGGUAAGGUAACGGCUUACCAUGGCUACGAUGACUAGGGGGCCUAAGAGGGUGAUCCCCCACACUGGUACUGAGAUACGGACCAGACUCCUACGGGAGGCAGCAGUAGGGAAUAUUGGUCAAUGGAGGAGACUCUGAACCAGCCAUGCCGCGUGCAGGAAGACGGCCUUAUGGGUUGUAAACUGCUUUUGAUAGGGAAGAAAACGUCCAUGCGUGGAUAAUUGACGGUACCUAUAGAAUAAGCACCGGCUAACUCCGUGCCAGCAGCCGCGGUAAUACGGAGGGUGCAAGCGUUGUCCGGAUUUAUUGGGUUUAAAGGGUACGUAGGUGGCCUUAUAAGUCAGUGGUGAAAGUCUGCAGCUUAACUGUAGAAUUGCCAUUGAUACUGUAGGGCUUGAGUACUGUCGAGGCAGGCGGAAUUUAUGAUGUAGCGGUGAAAUGCAUAGAUAUCAUAAAGAACACCGAUAGCGAAGGCAGCUUGCUAGGCAGUAACUGACAC
rnacentral:rRNA from 1 species